rnacentral:tRNA from 1 species
GGGGUUGUGGCUCAGCGGUAGAGCGCUGGCCUAGCACGUGCAGUGCUGGGUUCGAUCCUCAGCACCACA